UNGGUAUCUCAUUGGUGUCUUAUGCUUGA
rnacentral:piRNA from 1 species